CAGCAGCCACGGGAACACGGAGGGUGCAAGCGUUAAUCGGAAUUACUGGGCGUAAAGCGCACGCAGGCGGUCUGUCAAGUCGGAUGUGAAAUCCCCGGGCUCAACCUGGGAACUGCAUCCGAAACUGGCAGGCUAGAGUCUUGUAGAGGGGGGUAGAAUUCCAGGUGUAGCGGUGAAAUGCGUAGAGAUCUGGAGGAAUACCGGUGGCGAAGGCGGCCCCCUGGACAAAGACUGACGCUCAGGUGCGAAAGCGUGGGGAGCAAACAGGAUUAGAUACCCCUGUAGUCCCUGUCUCUUAUAC
rnacentral:rRNA from 1 species